rnacentral:rRNA from 1 species
AACCAGGGCUUCGGCUCUGGAGACAGCGGCGAACGGGUGAGUAACACGUGGGUAAUCCACCCUCGGCACCGGAAUAGCCCGGGGAAACCCGGAUUAAUGCCGGAUGGCCCGUCGACCCUUCGGGGCUGACGGAAAAGGUAGCUUCGGCCUCCGGCCGGGGACGAGCCCGCGACGGAUUAGCUUGUUGGUGGGGUAACGGCCUACCAAGGCUCCGAUCCGUAGCUGGUCUGAGAGGACGAUCAGCCACACUGGGACUGAGACACGGCCCAGACUCCUACGGGAGGCAGCAGUGGGGAAUCUUGCGCAAUGGGCGAAAGCCUGACGCAGCGACGCCGCGUGAGGGAAGAAGGCCUUCGGGUUGUAAACCUCUUUCAGGAGGGACGAAGCCACUCGGGUUAAUAGCCCAGAGGGUGACGGUACCUCCAGAAGAAGCCCCGGCUAACUACGUGCCAGCAGCCGCGGUAAUACGUAGGGGGCAAGCGUUGUCCGGAUUUAUUGGGCGUAAAGAGCGUGUAGGCGGCCAGGUAGGUCUGCUGUGAAAACUCGAGGCUUAACCUCGAGCUGUCGGCGGAAACCAUCUGGCUAGAGUCCGGAAGAGGAGAAUGGAAUUCCCGGUGUAGCGGUGAAAUGCGCAGAUAUCGGGAAGAACACCCGUGGCGAAGGCGGUUCUCUGGGACGGUACUGACGCUGAGACGCGAAAGCGUGGGGAGCGAACAGGAUUAGAUACCCUGGUAGUCCACGCCGUAAACGAUGAGUGCUAGUGUUGGGGGGGUGUCGACUCCCUCUGUGCCGCAGCUAACGCA